UACAGAGGUCUCAAGCGUUGUUCGGAUUCAUUGGGCGUAAAGGGCUCGUAGGCGGCGUGUCGCGUCGGGAGUGAAAGACCGGGGCUUAACCCCGGUUCUGCUUCCGGUACGGGCAUGCUGGAGUGUGGCAGGGGAGACUGGAAUUCCUGGUGUAGCGGUGGAAUGCGCAGAUAUCAGGAGGAACACCGGUGGCGAAGGCGGCUCACUGGACCACAACUGACGCUGAGGCGCGAAAGCUAGGGGAGCAAACAGG
rnacentral:rRNA from 1 species